rnacentral:rRNA from 1 species
AGAUUGAACGCUGGCGGCAUGCCUUACACAUGCAAGUCGAACGGCAGCACGGGGGCAACCCUGGUGGCGAGUGGCGAACGGGUGAGUAAUACAUCGGAACGUACCCAGUAGUGGGGGAUAGCUCGGCGAAAGCCGGAUUAAUACCGCAUACGACCUACGGGUGAAAGGCGGGGGAUCGCAAGACCCUCGCGCUAUUGGAGCGGCCAAUGUCGGAUUAGCUUGUUGGUGAAGGUAAA